UUUGCAGAGUUUUAUUUUUAUGACCGUGGUAUACUUUGGACCUCUGACUUGCUCCAUUAUUACUACAACUCGGAAGUUCUUCACCAUCCUAGGCUCUGUGAUUAUCUUUGCUAACCCCAUCAGCUCCAUGCAGUGGGUAGGAACCAUCCUUGUAUUUGUAGGUCUUGGACUUGACUCCAGAUAUGGAAAAGGACAAAAGAAAUCUUAACAUUUGUGUGACUGUGGUGAAACCACACACUGAAGGCAAACUUAGUGCUCUGAACUUUGUCAGGACUUGGAUUUAUUUUUAAUUGACUCUUUUUAAAGGAAAAUAUUUUAUGAUGCUGAUCGCUUCCACAUUCUCAGACUGAGACUAGUGAUGUAAGCAGAAAGAAUCAUGGUGUUUGCCUUCUCUUGCUAUAAAGUGAGAGUUUAGAAGACGUGGUAAAAUCUUUUUAAACCUGAUGGCAGAAUGUCUCUAGGUCCAAGCAGUUAUAAGGCCAGUCUGAACUUUGAGAGGCUGUGCUGCCAUCAUUAAAUCAUGGGCAUUACAUGUAGGUGUCCUUUAUCCAGAUGGAAGCUUGCAAACAUUUGUUUGGAAUCUGUUAGCUGUAUCUUAACAUUUCACAUUCAUGGCAGAUAACUGCAGAAAUGUUUACAGUGUCCGCUUCGUAUGUGUGAUAGGGGCUUAUGGCAAUGAUGCUAAAGUUGAAAUCUGAUGCAGUGUCACCUGUUUUGUUGUUCAGAAUUGUGAAAACAUUAUGUGGUCAUUACAAUUUUGGUGUAAAA